GAGUAGAAUCACGCGACACACCUUCUGACGUUAUUUUUUUCCCAACCUAUCAGCGUGAGACCUAUUUUCGACAGUCAUUUGGCCCUACUCCUAUGUCGUGCAUUCCAAGUUGCACAACAAAGCAGUUAUCGGAGUUUGAGGGCAAAACAUAUCCCAAAAUCUAUAUUCUUGACAACAACACUGACGUGGGUACCUCUCGGCGGGAUACGGUAGUGGUUUUAUUAUAGAUCCGCGGUAAACAACAGCAGACACGAAACCAGUUUGAACUGACCCUAAUUUUUUUCUUCUUUUCUUAAAAUUACUUGUACCUUAUCUACUCUAAUGGAUUUACAAGGUUUUAUCUUUCAGAGAAUAUUCACCCAUUAAAUAAACCAUACUCGAUUCUCUCAGAUUUGUUCAGAGAAUCCAGUUUCUUGUUCUCAAAACUUAUAUUCUAAUUGCAGCUGAUCUAUUUACCUCCUUUGCAGGGUAGACGAUGCUGGCUGUGCUGGGCUCUGUAGCCAGUGAUCAUCUCGUAGUCACCAUUGUCUCUCUUGAGGGGGAAA